UCGUCGGAGAGGGCACGCACGCGCAAAA
rnacentral:sRNA from 1 species